GACCUGCACGAAUGGCGUAACGAUGGCGGCGCUGUCUCCACCCGAGACUCAGUGAAAUUGAAAUCGCUGUGAAGAUGCAGUGUAUCCGCGGCUAGACGGAAAGACCCCGUGAACCUUUACUAUAGCUUUGCACUGGACUUUGAAUUUGCUUGUGUAGGAUAGGUGGGAGGCUUUGAAGCGUGGACGCCAGUUCGCGUGGAGCCAUCCUUGAAAUACCACCCUGGCAACUUUGAGGUUCUAACUCAGGUCCGUUAUCCGGAUCGAGGACAGUGUAUGGUGGGUAGUUUGACUGGGGCGGUCUCCUCCUAAAGAGUAACGGAGGAGUACGAAGGUGCGCUCAGACCGGUCGGAAAUCGGUCGUAGAGUAUAAAGGCAAAAGCGCGCUUGACUGCGAGACAGACACGUCGAGCAGGUACGAAAGUAGGUCU
rnacentral:rRNA from 2 species